AGUGAACGCUGGCGGUAGGCCUAACACAUGCAAGUCGAACGGCAGCAUAGUAAGAGCUUGCUCUUACGGGUGGCGAGUGGCGGACGGGUGAGGAAUACAUCGGAAUCUACUUUUUCGUGGGGGAUAACGCAGGGAAACUUACGCUAAUACCGCAUACGACCUACGGGUGAAAGCAGGGGAUCUUCGGACCUUGCGCGAUUGAAUGAGCCGAUGUCGGAUUAGCUAGUUGGCGGGGUAAAGGCCCACCAAGGCGACGAUCCGUAGCUGGUCUGAGAGGAUGAUCAGCCACACUGGAACUGAGACACGGUCCAGACUCCUACGGGAGGCAGCAGUGGGGAAUAUUGGACAAUGGGCGCAAGCCUGAUCCAGCCAUACCGCGUGGGUGAAGAAGGCCUUCGGGUUGUAAAGCCCUUUUGUUGGGAAAGAAAAGCAGCAGGUUAAGACCCCGCUGUUCUGACGGUACCCAAAGAAUAAGCACCGGCUAACUUCGU
rnacentral:rRNA from 1 species